GACGAACGCUGGCGGCGCGCCUAACACAUGCAAGUCGAACGAGCGAGAGAGAGCUUGCUUUCUCGAGCGAGUGGCGAACGGGUGAGUAACGCGUGAGGAACCUGCCUCAAAGAGGGGGACAACAGUUGGAAACGACUGCUAAUACCGCAUAAGCCCACAGCUCGGCAUCGAGCAGAGGGAAAAGGAGUGAUCCGCUUUGAGAUGGCCUCGCGUCCGAUUAGCUGGUUGGUAAGGUAACGGCUUACCAAGGCGAUGAUGCAUAGCCGAGUUGAGAGACUGAUCGGCCACAAUGGAACUGAGACACGGUCCAU
rnacentral:rRNA from 1 species